AUUCAAGUAGCUUAAAUAUAGAGCAUAACACUGAAGAUGUUAGGGUAAUUAUAGUAAUUCUUGGAUA
rnacentral:tRNA from 1 species